rnacentral:rRNA from 1 species
UCUGGUUGAUCCUGCCAGUAGUCAUAUGCUUGUCUCGAAGAUUAAGCCAUGCAUGUCUAAGUUUAAAUAGUAUACAGUGAAACUGCGAAUGGCUCAUUAAAACAGUUAUAGUUUAUUCGAUAAUGUUUCCUAUAUGGAUAACCGUGGUAAUUCUAGAGCUAAUACAUGCUGUUUGCCCGACGCAAGAAGGGCUGUAUUUAUUAGAUAUUAAACCAAUAUUCCUCUGGUCUAUUGUGGUGAAUCAUAGUAACUGAUCGAAUCUUGGCCAGUCCAAGAUAGGUCGUUCAAGUUUCUGCCCUAUCAGCUUUCGAUGGUAGUGUAUUGGACUACCAUGGCAGUCACGGGUAACGGAGAAUUAGGGUUCGAUUCCGGAGAGGGAGCCUGAGAAACGGCUACCACAUCUAAGGAAGGCAGCAGGCGCGUAAAUUACCCAAUCCUGACUCAGGGAGGUAGUGACAAGAAAUAAUAACCUGGGGACCCCAUGGUCUUACGGGAUUACAAUGAGAACAAUUUAAACGACUUAACGAGGAACAAUUAGAGGGCAAGUCUGGUGCCAGCAGCCGCGGUAAUUCCAGCUCUAAUAGUGUAUAUUAAAGUUGUUGCAGUUAAAAAGCUCGUAGUUGAAUUUCUGGCUGUUGCUGGCGUUGGCUUCGGUCAUGCCAGUGGCGGUCAUCCGUCUGCAAACUGUAUUCAUCCUUCACUGGUUGGUGCAGGGAGUAGACAAUUUACCUUGAAAAAAUUAGAGUGUUUCAGGCAGGCAUUUGCCAGGAUACAUUAGCAUGGAAUAAUGGAAUAGGACUCGUCCUUUUUGUUGGUUAUAGGAUACGAGUAAUGAUUAAUAGGGACAGUUGGGGGCAUUAGUAUUUAAUUGUCAGAGGUGAAAUUCUUGGAUUUAUUGAAGACUAACUUAUGCGAAAGCAUUUGCCAAGGAUGUUUUCAUUAAUCAAGAACGAAAGUUAGGGGAUCAAAGACGAUCAGAUACCGUCCUAGUCUUAACUAUAAACUAUACCGACUCGGGAUCGGCCGGGCAUCUAACCUCGGUCGGCACCGUAUGAGAAAUCAAAGUCUUUAGGUUCUGGGGGGAGUAUGGUCGCAAGGCUGAAACUUAAAGGAAUUGACGGAAGGACACACCAGGUGUGGAGCCUGCGGCUUAAUUUGACCCAACACGGGGAAACUUACCAGGUUAAAACAUCGUUGGGAUUGACAGAUUGAGAGCUCUUUCUUGAUUCGAUGGGUGGUGGUGCAUGGCCGUUCUUAGUUGGUGGAGUGAUUUGUCUGGUUAAUUCCGUUAACGAACGAGACCUUAACCUGCUAACUAGUUCCUUGGUUAAUCACUGGGGUAACUUCUUAGAGGGACUAUGGGAUGGAAGCCCAUGGAAGUUUGAGGCAAUAACAGGUCUGUGAUGCCCUUAGAUAUCCUGGGCCGCACGCGCGCUACAAUGACUCUUUCAGAAAGUUCUAUCCUGGUCCGGAAGGAUUCGGGUAAUCUUUUUAGUAGGAGUCGUGUUAGGGAUCGAUCUUUGGAAUUAUAGAUCUUGAACGAGGAAUAUCUAGUAUGUGCAAGUCAUCAGCUUGUACAGAUUAUGUCCCUGUCUUUUGUACACACCGCCCGUCGCUGCUACCGAUCGAGUGAUCCGGUGAACCUUUUGAAUUGAGUGCCACCUCGUGUGGUAUUUGAGAAGUUAAGUAAACCUUAUCACUUAGAGGAAGCAGAAGUCGUAACAAGGUU